AUCUAGCUGACGAGUCCCAAAUAGGACGAAAUGUGCGUCAAACUGGAU
rnacentral:hammerhead_ribozyme from 1 species